rnacentral:rRNA from 1 species
GAUGAACGCUGGCGGCGUGCCUAAUACAUGCAAGUCGAGCGAACGGACGAGAAGCUUGCUUUUCUGAUGUUAGCGGCGGACGGGUGAGUAACACGUGGAUAACCUACCUAUAAGACUGGGAUAACUUCGGGAAACCGGAGCUAAUACCGGAUAAUAUUUUGAACCGCAUGGUUCAAAAGUGAAAGACGGUCUUGCUGUCACUUAUAGAUGGAUCCGCGCUGCAUUAGCUAGUUGGUAAGGUAACGGCUUACCAAGGCAACGAUGCAUAGCCGACCUGAGAGGGGGACCGGCCCACCGGGAAAGGGACACCGGCCCAGACCCCUACGGGAGGCAGCAGUAGGGAAUCUUCCGCAAUGGGCGAAAGCCUGACGGAGCAACGCCGCGUGAGUGAUGAAGGUCUUCGGAUCGUAAAACUCUGUUAUUAGGGAAGAACAUAUGUGUAAGUAACUGUGCACAUCUUGACGGUACCUAAUCAGAAAGCCACGGCUAACUACGUG